rnacentral:rRNA from 1 species
UAAUACGUAGGGGGCUAGCGUUGUCCGGAAUCAUUGGGCGUAAAGAGCGUGUAGGCGGCCCGGUAAGUCCGUUGUAAAAGUCGAAGGCUCAACCUUCGAAUGCCGAUGGAUACUGCCGGGCUAGAGUCCGGAAGAGGCGAGUGGAAUUCCUGGUGUAGCGGUGGAAUGCGCAGAUAUCAGGAGGAACACCGAUAGCGAAGGCAGCUCGCUGGGACGGUACUGACGCUAAGACGCGAAAGCGUGGGGAGCGAACAGGAUUAGAUACCCUGGUAGUCCACGCCGUAAACGAUGGGCACUAGGUGUGGGAGGUGUCGACUCCUCCCGUGCCGACGCUAACGCAAUAAGUGCCCCGCCUGGGGAGUACGGCCGCAAGGCUA